rnacentral:rRNA from 1 species
CCCUUAGAUGUCCUGGGCCGCACGCGCGCUACAAUGACACGUUCAACAAGUACUUUCCUGGCUUGGAAAAGUUUCGGGUAAUCUUUAUAAUACGUGUCGUGCUGGGGAUUGAUCUUUGGAAUUAUAGAUCUUGAACGAGGAAUUCCUAGUAAGCAUAAGUCAUCAGCUUGUGCUGAUUACGUCCCUGCCCUUUGUACACACCGCCCGUCGCUCCUACCGAUUGGGUGAGCCGAUGAAACUCUCGGAUGUAGGCUAUUCAUAGCCCGCAGAAGAGAUUUGAAUCGUAGCGCUUAGAGGAAGGAGAAGUCGUAACA